GGUCUUGGGGUGGUAGUGGUUAUCACGUCUGCUUUACACGCAGAAGGUCGCGGGCUCGAUCCCGGCCAGGUUCU
rnacentral:tRNA from 1 species